rnacentral:rRNA from 1 species
AUUGAACGCUGGCGGCAGGCCUAACACAUGCAAGUCGAGCGGAUGAAGGGAGCUUGCUCCUGGAUUCAGCGGCGGACGGGUGAGUAAUGCCUAGGAAUCUGCCUGGUAGUGGGGGAUAACGUCCGGAAACGGGCGCUAAUACCGCAUACGUCCUGAGGGAGAAAGUGGGGGUCCUCGGUCCUCAAGCUAUUAGGUGAGCCUAGGGCGGAUUAGCUAGUUGGUGGGGUAAAGGCCUACCAAGGCGACGAUCCGUAACUGGUCUGAGAGGGUGAUCAGUCACACUGGAACUGAGACACGGUCCAGACUCCUACGGGAGGCAGCAGUGGGGAAUAUUGGACGAUGGGCGAAAGCCUGAUACAGCCAUGCCGCGUGUGUGAAGAAGGUCUUCGGAUUGUAAAGCGCUUUAAGUUGGGAGGAAGGGCAGUAAGUUAAUACCUUGCUGUUUUGACGUUACCAACAGAAUAAGCACCGGCUAACUUCGUG